UUCAGCAGCCAUAUCACCCUACAGCCCAAGACUGGUUGCCCACUGAAGCUAAGCAGGGUUGAGCCUGGUCAGUACCUGUGCGGUGAAACCGGCGUCAGCUUUCC
rnacentral:rRNA from 1 species